rnacentral:rRNA from 1 species
UAGCUUGCUACCAGGCGUCGAGCGGCGGACGGGUGAGUAAUACUUAGGAAUCUACCUAGUAGUGGGGGAUAGCACGGGGAAACUCGUAUUAAUACCGCAUACGUCCUACGGGAGAAAGGGGGCAACUUGUUGCUCUCGCUAUUAGAUGAGCCUAAGUCGGAUUAGCUAGAUGGUGGGGUAAAGGCCUACCAUGGCGACGAUCUGUAGCUGGUCUGAGAGGAUGAUCAGCCACACCGGGACUGAGACACGGCCCGGACUCCUACGGGAGGCAGCAGUGGGGAAUAUUGGACAAUGGGGGAAACCCUGAUCCAGCCAUGCCGCGUGUGUGAAGAAGGCCUUUUGGUUGUAAAGCACUUUAAGCAGUGAAGAAGACUCUUCGGUUAAUACCCGGAGACGAUGACAUUAGCUGCAGAAUAAGCACCGGCUAACUCUGUGCCAGCAGCCGCGGUAAUACAGAGGGUGCAAGCGUUAAUCGGAAUUACUGGGCGUAAAGCGAGCGUAGGUGGCUUGAUAAGUCAGAUGUGAAAUCCCCGGGCUUAACCUGGGAACUGCAUCUGAAACUGUUAGGCUAGAGUAGGUGAGAGGGAAGUAGAAUUUCAGGUGUAGCGGUGAAAUGCGUAGAGAUCUGAAGGAAUACCGAUGGCGAAGGCAGCUUCCUGGCAUCAUACUGACACUGAGGCUCGAAAGCGUGGGUAGCAAACAGGAUUAGAUACCCUGGUAGUCCACGCCGUAAACGAUGUCUACUAGUCGUUGGGUCCCUUGAGGACUUAGUGACGCAGCUAACGCAAUAAGUAGACCGCCUGGGGAGUACGGCCGCA